CCCUUAGAUGUUCUGGGCUGCACGCGUGCUACACUGAUAUUGCCAAUAUGUCAUUCUUAUCCGAAAUGGAUUGGGUAAUCAAGUAAUGAAAUUUCAUGCUUGGAAUCGGUAAUUGCAAUUUUAUCGUGAACGAGGAAUUCCUAGUAAGCACUAGUCAUCAGCUAAUGUUGAUUAUGUCCCUGCCCUUUGUACACACCGCCCGUCGCUACUACUGAUUGGGUGUUCAAGUGAGAUGCUUAGACCCUUGUUGCAUAGUUCAUUAUUGUGCUCCGAAAGGAAAAAGUUUCAAGCUUGAGUGUCUAGAGGAAGUAAAAGUCGUAACA
rnacentral:rRNA from 1 species